rnacentral:lncRNA from 1 species
AUGGGGCCUUUGUUCACCACCAUUCCUGGUGCCCAUUCUGGUCCCAUGCGUCCUCUGCCCAAGAAACACGUAGAACCCAUGGCAGUGCGACAGCUGCUUCUUGGCAACUCCACCAUGAUCAGGCACACUUGUCCCAUGUCUGUCCCGUUGAGCCGGCAAGUCAAGGAAGUUGCUGCCCAGAAACCAAGUGAGGACAUUUACAAGAACUGGCAGCAGCAGCAGCAGCAGCAGCAGCAGCAGCAGCAGCAGCAACUGGAUUUGCUUUUUCACCAGAGGAUCCAGAUUUCCCUGUGGCCUCGCAAACAAAAAAGAAGGAAGACGGAGCAGCACAGUCAUCCCUUUGUGAAAAAGGCAUUCAGGUUCUCCGCCGGCUCUGGCUGCGGGCGGCCCUCAUCUAACAAGAUGCUUCGGUCCAUGGGUGGAGGACAAAGGCCUACGGGCUUGGGGAGCGAGUUCUUUCGUCUCCUACAUGACCUUCAUCUGCUCGCGUUUGCCAUGAAGCGCAUCUGGAUCCACCGGAGGGGCGAGGCCACAGCUCGACCGCGAGCACCUGAGCAUCCUGCACCGCCUGCGACGGCCGUCAGGGGGCGCGAUGCCGCCUCACAGAACCUCAAGCGGCGCCCGGGUUCCGGCACAGACGGCCUGCGGCUCCAGGGGGCGGAGCCGAGCCGUCUCCUCAGGACCUACGCAGGAGGCGCCGUCAUCCCUACAGGGACACCUGAGAGGGCCCAGCCUCCUCCUCCUCAGGACCCACUCGGGAGACGCCGCUGGCUCUCUAGGAACACCUGGGGACCGUGGCCAGGGACGACCCAGCCUCCUUCUCCUCAGCUCCUCAGGAACGACUGGGGAAGCUGUGGCUUCAUGGUCCCCGAGGCUGCCCGAGGAAAGGUAUUUCAGGACAGCCAGGAGGGGGCGCACAUCCGCCGAGAAACUGUGAGCAAGAGCGUCUGUGCUGAACCAUGGCGCCACCAGAGGGCGCGCGAUCCCGCCCCAACCAACUUCCCGCUGAGGUGCCAGAAGCAGCGAGGAGCUUCAGCUUCCUCAGGGCAGCACGAGGGUCGUGUUAACUUGGUGUUCUUCAUUGGUUCCCCAACAGUUAUUGCUGUACCAGAUUUGCAGUGUCCCACAAAAUACUCCGGUAUGUUGUACUGA